UCCCCGAUGGUCCAGUGGCUAAGACUCCACGCUUCUACUGCAAGGGGCAUGGGUUCCAUCCCCGUUUGGGGAA
rnacentral:tRNA from 1 species